rnacentral:tRNA from 1 species
AAUGAAUUUAAGCUUCAUAUAUAAAGAUUUCCUCUUUUUUUAGAA